rnacentral:pre_miRNA from 1 species
AGCCCCGCCCACCCAGCCCCCACCCCCGCCUCGGGCCCGGGGUGGGCAGGCGGGGGUGGGGGCUGGGUGGGCGGGGC